AAUUCAGGUUCAAGAACCAACAUGGCGUUCUUCCCUGCAAAGAACAAUAACAACAACAACAGUUCAAGGCUUGUUGUGAGGGCAGCUGAGGAAGGUGCAGCACCACCAGCCACCACCGAAGCACCAGCAGCAACUGAAGCUCCAAAGCCUAAGCCACCACCAAUUGGUCCCAAGAGAGGAACUAAGGUUAGUUAUCAGUAUUAUUUGAUAAAGAUUUAAACGAAGAUCAUAACUUUUUAACUUUUUUUUCUUGGAAAAGAAGAGAAGAAUUUAAAUCAAUGUAAUAAGUAACAUUAAGAUGAGAAUUACCGAUAAAUGUCUCUAAAUAUACAGGUGAAGAUUCUCAGGAGGGAAUCCUACUGGUACAAUGGCAUAG
rnacentral:lncRNA from 1 species